rnacentral:rRNA from 1 species
AGCGAACGCUGGCGGCAGGCCUAACACAUGCAAGUCGAACGAACCCUUCGGGGUUAGUGGCGGACGGGUGAGUAACACGUGGGAACGUGCCCUUUGGUUCGGAACAACUCAGGGAAACUUGAGCUAAUACCGAAUGUGCCCUUCGGGGGAAAGAUUUAUCGCCAUUGGAGCGGCCCGCGUCUGAUUAGCUUGUUGGUGAGGUAAAGGCUCACCAAGGCUACGAUCAGUAGCUGGUCUGAGGGGAUGAUCAGCCACAUUGGGACUGAGACACGGCCCAAACUCCUACGGGAGGCAGCAGUGGGGAAUCUUGCGCAAUGGGCGAAAGCCUGACGCAGCCAUGCCGCGUGAAUGAUGAAGGUCUUAGGAUUGUAAAAUUCUUUCACCGGGGACGAUAAUGACGGUACCCGGAGAAGAAGCCCCGGCUAACUUCGUGCCAGCCGCCGCAGUAAAAC